CUUUUUUAUCGUCUCAGAGUUCCUCUCAAUUCAAAACUCUCCUCCCAAUUGAAUUUUUCUUCUCCAAGAAUUCUAAUCUCUCCCUCCUUUAAAUCCCUCAACUUCUUACUUUCAACCGGCGCACUCCACCUUAAGCUCUAGGGUUUCAGUGAACUUGUGCCUUGGAUUCGAACAUCUGCCGUUAGUUCAAGCUCUCUGUGUACCGCCUUCUUCCUCGUUGGUCGCUUCAAGAACUUGAGGUUGCUUUCUUCGUUAUUGAAGAUUUUCGUGCUUCUCCCCACAUCCUAACUCCCUUCUCAAGGCGGAAGAGAAUGGAAAUCUGUAAAUGGUUGGAAGCGGAGGAACUGCAAAGUGCUUGUGGGGAAGUUGAGCGACGUGGUCAUCUUGUGCGGGGGAACAUCAGCGACGUGGCAAACUGGAGCGACGUGUGUGAAGUUCUCGCAACGUGGAAUGAAAGAAUGAUUUACGUUUACAAUGGACGGAUGUGAGAGAUUUAAUUAAUAAUGGACGGUUAUCAUUAUAAACACCAGCGAUAACCAUUUUUUCUAUGGUUAAUUGCGUUAUCAAUGGACGGUUGUGGUUUUCUGUGGUUAAU